AGCAGCCGCGGUAAUUCCAGCUCCAAUAGCGUAUAUUAAAGUUGUUGCAGUUAAAAAGCUCGUAGUUGAAUUUCGGGAUUGACGUGAUGGUCAUGCCUUAAGGGGUAUGAACUGUUACUGUUGAUUUCUCACCUUCUGGAGAAACUUGAUGUCCUUUAUUGGGUGUCUUGCGGAUCCAGGACCUUUACCUUGAAAAAAUUUAGAGUGUUUAAAGCAGGCAUUUUUGCUCGAAUACAUUAGCAUGGAAUAAUAGAAUAGGACGGCAUGGUUCUAUUUUGUUGGUUUCUAGGAUCACCGUAAUGAUUAAUAGGGAUAGUUGGGGGCAUUAGUAUUCAAUUGUCAGAGGUGAAAUUCUUGGAUUAUUGAAGACUAACUACUGCGAAGGCAUUUGCCAAGGAUGUUUUCAUUAAUCAAGAGCGAAAGUUAGGGGAUCGAAGACGAUCAGAUACCGUCGUAGUCUUAACCAUAAACUAUGCCGACUAGGGAUCGGACGAAGUUAAUUUU
rnacentral:rRNA from 1 species